UUCAUAUGAAUAGUGUUACGUAAAAAUACUAUUCAUAUGAACAAUGUUACGGAAAUUUUCUUUGAGUUCACUGUUCUUCUUCUUCCUCCCGUAGUGCAUCACGGUCGUCCAUCUUCCACGGAUCAACUUCUUCCAUUUUCAGCGAUCCCGAAAUCCCAGCAUCCCAUGCGUGACCCCAGCAUCUCACUGCAUCCAAGCUUCCAAAUCAGCCUCUCCAUUCCAACCACAUCCAAGCCUCCAAAUCAGCCC
rnacentral:lncRNA from 1 species